GAUGAACGCUAGCUACAGGCUUAACACAUGCAAGUCGAGGGGCAGCGGGUUGAAAGCUUGCUUUCAAUGCCGGCGACCGGCGCACGGGUGCGUAACGCGUAUCAAACCUGCCUCAUACUCGGGGAUAGCCUUGCGAAAGUAAGAUUAAUACCCGAUGUUGUUGCUUUCUCGCAUGGGAGAGUAACCAAAGAUUUAUCGGUAUGAGAUGGUGAUGCGUCCGAUUAGGUAGUAGGCGGGGUAACGGCCCACCUAGCCUUCGAUCGGUAGGGGUUCUGAGAGGAAGGUCCCCCACACUGGAACUGAGACACGGUCCAGACUCCUACGGGAGGCAGCAGUGAGGAAUAUUGGUCAAUGGGCGAGAGCCUGAACCAGCCAAGUAGCGUGCAGGAUGACGGCCCUCCGGGUUGUAAACUGCUUUUAGUUGGGAAUAAAAAAAGGGACUUGUCCCUUCUUGUAUGUACCUUCAGAAAAAGGACCGGCUAAUUCCGUGCCAGCAGCCGCGGUAAUACGGAAGGUCCAGGCGUUAUCCGGAUUUAUUGGGUUUAAAGGUAGCGUAGGCGGAUUGUUAAGUCAGCGGUUAAAGGGUGUGGCUCAACCAUGCAUUGCCGUUGAAACUGGCGAUUUUGAGUGCAUACAGGAUGGCCUGAAUUCGUGGGUGUAGCGGUGAAUGCUUAGAUAUCACGAAGAACUCCGAUCGCGUGUGCGUGUGUCCGGGCUGCAACUGACGCUGAGGCUCAAAGUGUGGUGAUCUAACAGG
rnacentral:rRNA from 1 species